rnacentral:rRNA from 1 species
UACAGAGGCCCCAAGCGUUACUGAGAAUCACUGGGUUUAAAGGGUGCGUAGGUGGCGCGUUAAGUCCGUUGUGAAAUCCCUUGGCUCAACCAAGGAAAUGCUUCGGAUACUGGCGUGCUUGAGGCUAGUAGGGGUCACUGGAACUGACGGUGGAGCGGUGAAAUGCGUAGAUAUCGCUUGGAACGCCAGUGGUGAAAACGGGUCGCUGGGGACAUGCUGACGCUGAGACACGAAAGCCAGGGGAGCAAACGGG